rnacentral:rRNA from 1 species
GACGAACGCUGGCGGCGUGCUUAACACAUGCAAGUCGAGCGGUAAGGCCCUUUCGGGGGUACGACGAGCGGCGAACGGGUGAGUAACACGUGGGUGACCUGCCCUCAGCUCUGGGAUAAGCCUGGGAAACUGGGUCUAAUACCGGAUAUGACUCCAUGACGCAUGUUGUGGGGUGGAAAGCCUUGUGCGGCUAGGGAUGGGCCCGCGGCCUAUCAGCUUGUUGGUGGGGUGAUGGCCACCAAGGCGACGACGGGUAGCCGGCCUGAGAGGGCGACCGGCCACACUGGGACUGAGACACGGCCCAGACUCCUACGGGAGGGCAGCAGUGGGGAAUCUUGCGCAAUGGGCGAAAGCCUGACGCAGCGACGCCGCGUGGGGAGU